rnacentral:piRNA from 1 species
UUGAUUUGGGGACUUAACUAGCUUUUGUGA